rnacentral:lncRNA from 1 species
UCGUGACUCGAGCUCACGCUGGGUAAGAGCAACGUGAUCGCCGCCAGAUGGUCAAGUCGUGCGACUUGAGCCAGGCUUAGCGUGUGCGACGACUUCACCGCUAGGGAGCUGAGACAGAGAGGGCGGUAGGCUGAUAAGCAGCCAGUGCGCGGGUUAUCCGCGGAUGAUUGACUCGGAGCCAAGUCGGGUGGUUAGCUUCGAUAGGGUAGAGGAACCUUUAU